rnacentral:sRNA from 1 species
AGAGUUGGUGGCUAGGGUUCCGGCGCUUUGAAAAGCGUGCUGGUCCGAGAGCUGCCACCGGUUGGGGAGACAUCCCGCCGGGUGCACGGCGGGACAAAAGCCCGGGAGAC